rnacentral:rRNA from 1 species
GGGCUUGACAUCCUCUGGCCGGCGCAGAGAUGCGCUUCCCUUCGGGGACAGAGAGACAGAUGGUGCAUGGUUGUCGGUCAGCUCGUGUCGUGAGAUGUUGGGUUAAGUCCCGCAACGAGCGCAACCCCUAUGGUCAGUUGCCAGCAUGUAAAGAUGGGCACUCUGGCGAGACUGCCGUUGACAAAACGGAGGAAGGUGGGGACGACGUCAAAUCAUCAUGCCCCUUAUGUCCUGGGCUACACACGUACUACAAUGGCAACAACAGAGGGCAGCCAGGCCGCGAGGCUGAGCGAAUCCCAAAAUGUUGUCUCAGUUCAGAUUGCAGGCUGCAACUCGCCUGCAUGAAGUCGGAAUUGCUAGUAAUGGCAGGUCAGCAUACUGCCGUGAAUACGUUCCCGGGGCUU